AUUGAACGCUGGCGGCAUGCUUUACACAUGCAAGUCGGACGAGUGGCGAACGGGUGAGGAACAUAUCGGAACGUACCGAGUAAUGGGGGAUAACUAAUCGAAAGAUUAGCUAAAGCAGCAUAUUAUUCGAGCGGCCGACAGCGGAUUAGCUGGUUGGGGGGGUAAAGGCCGACCAAGGCGACGAGCAGUAGCGGGUCUGAGAGGAUGAUCCGCCACACUGGGACUGAGACACGGCCCAGACUCCGACGGGAGGCAGCAGUAGGGAAUUUUGGGCAAUGGGCGCAAGCCUGAUCGAGCCAUGCCGCGUGACGGAAGAAGGCCUUCGGAUUGUAAAGGACUUUUGUCAGGGAAGCGGUACCUGACGAGUAAGCACCGGCUAACUACGUGCCAGCGGCCGCGGUAAUAC
rnacentral:rRNA from 1 species